UCUAUAGGUCCAUCUAUAGCUCCACCUAUAGGGCCAUCUCUAGGUUAUAGGUCCACCUAUAGGUCCAUCUAUAGGUCCACCUAUAGGUCCAUCUAUAGGUCCAUCUCUAGGUUAUAGGUCCACCUAUAGGUCCACCUAUAGGUCCAUCUAUAGGUCACCUAUAGGCCCAUCUAUAGGUCAAUCUAUAGGUCCCUAUCCCCCCUGCAGGUAUCUUCCUGCAGUACGCGCGGCUGGAGGAGCAGCACGGCCUGGCCCGUCGCGCCAUGGCGGUGUAUGAACGUGCCACCGAAGCCGUGCUGCCCUCGGAGCGACGCGCCGUGUUCGAGGUGUCCAUCAGCAGAGCUGCAGAGCUCUAUGGGGUCACACACAC
rnacentral:lncRNA from 1 species